AUCGGAAAUGGAAAUACUAAGGGAAUUAGUAUUCCAUUUGAGUUUUGGCUGGCUACAUACGCAACGCUGAGAAAGUGAAAAAGCAGACGUGAGAGACAUGUGCAGUGCCUUACCCCUGUUUCAUUUGCUUCAUGGUUUAGGAGGGAGGAACUCCUCAACAGAGCCACAUCGCAGCACAUCAGUAAAUGGUAAAGCUUAUUGUGGGUCUGGGCAACAGGACGAUAUAAUCGGAUAUCGACGAUAUCUCACAAAUUUCACGAUGCUGAUUGCAACACUCAUUGACACACAAUGAUUGACAAUAUCAGGAAAUGGCAAAACCAUGGAUCUGUGAAGUCGCCAAAUAUAUUAAACAGUAGCCCAGGACUAGCACCCGCCACCUGCCAGAUGCGACAAAGCUGAAUCCAGUUUGCAGUCACAUAAGAAAUGCUGUUUGUCACAAAGACACACACUUGGAGAAACACACUUUAUUAUAUUUUUAAGCACAGACUGUCAAUUAAGGUUGGGCGAUAUAUAGAAUAUUAACUAUGUAAUCGAGAUAAUUUUGCUGACUUUGUAAAAUUGACCAAUAUCGUUAAUAUCGGGAAUAUUGGCCAUAAAGAGCGCAUAAGUAGUUUCACGAUCUUUCAGGACUGCACAAUUAAUCAAAAUAGCAUCAAUAUGGCAAGUUGGUCAUAUGUGAUUAUUAAUCCACAAAAGUCUGCGAUUUAAAGACAGAUAAGCAUGGUCUGUGUGCAAUUCAGGACAAACCAGUGACUCGCUGAUCUGAGUGCAUGGUGGCGCUCUGAGAUCAGUUCACAUGCAUUGUGAAACCGAAGUAAUACAGGUUCAAGCAUUCGAGCACUUACAAACAUUAGUAACCGCUACAAGUAAACAGAAAAGGAGGAGAUUACAGCAUUUCAGGAAAUGCAGAACAUUGUAAACUGUCAAAUAAAGUUCAAGUAAAUACGACAGCACUUUUGGUGUCAAAAUAAAAGCCCCAGGUGGAGGUGAGUAAACAGGACAGAAAUGUAUUAUUUUUAGGGCUGUCGAUUUAACGCGUUAAUUCAGUGCGAAGAAUGUUACAAAAAUAACGCGUUAAAAUUUUUGACGCACUUCCCCCAGACCAUAAUUAGGAAGAUUCCUGAAAAAUGCAAGCUUGUAGUACCAGCUGUUUACUCCAAAGGGCAGUAAGUGAAACUUCAGCUGUAUGAGCAACGCACAGUUUAUUACAGUGAAGAAAACACUUCAGUAGGAGUUCUUGCGUUCAAAACACACAAAGGGAUCUCAAGAUGUGUUUAAAGAUUGAGUAUUAAACUAUAUUUAACUUGACACAGUGACCUAAACAUUUUAUGUUUAUGAUGCAACACACCCGAGAAACUACACAAGCAUGUCUGACACAGGGUGUGGCUGGGUUGAGAUGGUGCAAAAUUUGGAAAUUACCCAUAAAUAUUUAAUCACAAAUAAAAUCUAAGAAAUUUCCUUCAAACUUAUUUAUAAGUACUACCUCACUAAUUAUUUUCUUGAAGAGAGAUUUAAUUUUGUGGUCUGAAGGCGGAAAUGUUUUUUCAUUUAUUUUGAAGUUGUCCCUACUCGACUUGUUUUUGGUCUGAUUCCUGCAAGAUUGUUAGAGAUCAUAUUAUUCCCAGCUUUCAACUUUGUUUUGAAAAUGUUUUAUUAGUUUUUUUUAGCUAUGAUAUGUCUCUUCAUAAGGAAUAUUAUUUGAUUAAUUUUCUGCUUUUGUUGGCAAAGUUUAGUAAUUCAUAAAUGUAAGUAUGAUGUUUAUAAACAAUUAGUUUUAAUUUUUAAUUCAGAGGUUCAGCAAUACCUAAGAACAAUUUCCAUUUUGAGGAACAAGAAAGCUGUAAAGUGUAUUGAAAUAUGUAAACAAUUUGAUAUUUUUAUUAAACUGUUUAUUUAUUUUCCUUUUUGAUGUUGUUUGUUUUAA